rnacentral:pre_miRNA from 1 species
UGCACAAACUUGAAGUAGAGUAGAUCAGUGUGGUCAGCUGAUCAUUUUAAUCUACUCUACUUCGAAUUUGGUCAU